rnacentral:lncRNA from 1 species
CCGGGCAGCACGCGCGGAAGUAUACGCCGAAUCGCGCCACAACGUAACUUGCUCAUCGCCCCAGGAUCCUGAUUGGUCCACACGCUUCCAUUGAGGCCGCCCAGGCGGGGCCGCGUGAGACGAUUGGCUAUGGGCUUGUGUCACUCUCGAGAGCUCAAUGGAGUCCCGUUUCAAGGCCUGGGUGAAACUCACAGCAAGAAGAAAGAAAAGCACUUUGAAGAAAUGGAGUCAAGGGGGAAAAGGAAGACUCCACCCCAUCUAGACUAGAUGUAUGAAUAACAGAAGAUUG